rnacentral:rRNA from 1 species
UGCGUAGGCGGAAUAUUAAGUCAGAUGUGAAACUCCCGGGCUUAACUUGGGAACUGCAUUUGAAACUGAUAUUCUAGAGUGCAGGAGAGGAAAGCGGAAUUCCUAGUGUAGCGGUGAAAUGCGUAGAUAUUAGGAAGAACACCAGUGGCGAAGGCGGCUUUCUGGACUGUAACUGACGCUGAGGCACGAAAGCGUGGGAGCAAACAGGAUUAGAUACCCUGGUAGUCCACGCUGUAAACGAUGAGUGCUAGGUGUAGGGGACGUCAUAUCUUCUGUGCCGGAGCAAAACGCAAUAAGCAACUCCGCCUGGGGAGUACGGUCGCAAAGGACUAAA